UACGUAGGGUGCAAGCGUUAAUCGGAAUUACUGGGCGUAAAGCGUGCGCAGGCGGUUCGUUGUGUCGGUGGUGAAAUCCCCGGGCUUAACCUGGGGAAUGGCCAUGGAAACUGGCAAACUGGAGUACUGCAGGGGAGACUGGAAUUCCUGGUGUAGCGGUGGAAUGCGCAGAUAUCAGGAGGAACACCGGUGGCGAAGGCGGGUCUCUGGGCAGUAACUGACGCUGAGGAGCGAAAGCGUGGGGAGCGAACAGG
rnacentral:rRNA from 1 species